CCUACGGGGCGCAGCAGUGGGGAAUAUUGCGCAAUGGGGGCAACCCUGACGCAGCAACGCCGCGUGCAGGAAGAAGGUCUUCGGAUUGUAAACUGUUGUCGCAAGGGAAGAAGACAGUGACGGUACCUUGUGAGAAAGUCACGGCUAACUACGUGCCAGCAGCCGCGGUAAUACGGAGGAUGCGAGCGUUAUCCGGAUUUAUUGGGUUUAAAGGGUGCGUAGGCGGAUUUUUAAGUCAGCGGUAAAAUGUCCGGGCUCAACCCGGGCCGGCCGUUGAAACUGGGGAUCUUGAGUGGGCGAGAAGU
rnacentral:rRNA from 1 species